UUAUUGAUGGCUAUUAAUGGCUAUUGAUGGUUAUUGAUGAUUACUAAUGGUUAUUGAUGGUUAUUGGUGUUAUUGAUGGUUAUUGGUGUUAUUGAUGGUUAUUGGUGGUUAUUGGUGUUAUUGAUGGUUAUUGAUGGUUAUUGAUGUUACUAAUGGUUAUUGAUGUUACUAAUGGUUAUUGAUGUUACUAAUGGUUAUUGAUGAUUAUUGGUGUUAUUGAUGUUACGAAUGGUUAUUGAUGGUUAUUGGUGGUUAUUGGUGGUUAUUGGUGUUAUUGAUGUUAUUGAUGUUAUUGAUGUCACUAAUGGUUAUUGAUGUUACUAAUGGUUAUUGAAGGUUAUUGGUGGUUAUUGGUGUUAUUGGUGUUAUUGGUGUUAUUGAUGGUUAUUGGUGGUUAUUGAUGGUUAUUGGUAGUUACUAAUGGCUAUUGAUGGUUAUUGGUGUUAUUGAUGGUUAUUGGUGUUAUUGAUGGUUAUUGGUGGUUAUUGGUGGUUAUUGGUGGUUAUUGAUGGUUAUU
rnacentral:lncRNA from 1 species